rnacentral:rRNA from 1 species
UAGAGUUUGAUCCUGGCUCAGAAUGAACGCUGGCGGCGUGCUUAACACAUGCAAGUCGAACGGUAACAGAAGAGCUUGCUCUUGCUGACGAGUGGCGCACGGGUGAGUAAUGCAUAGGUAACGUGCCCCUUAGUCUAGGAUAGCCACUGGAAACGGUGAUUAAUACUGGAUACUCCUUCUACCUUAAUGGUAGUCGGGAAAGUUUUUCGCUAAGGGAUCGGCCUAUGUUGUAUCAGGUAGUUGGUGAGGUAAUGGCUCACCAAGCCUAUGACACAUAGCGGGUCUGAGAGGAUGAUCCGCCACACUGGUACUGAGACACGGACCAGACUCCUACGGGAGGCAGCAGUGGGGAAUAUUGCACAAUGGACGAAAGUCUGAUGCAGCAACGCCGCGUGGAGGAUGACACAUUUCGGUGCGUAAACUCCUUUUAUAUGAGAAGAUAAUGACGGUAUCAUAUGAAUAAGCACCGCUAACU